rnacentral:rRNA from 1 species
UACGUAGGGGGCAAGCGUUGUCCGGAUUUAUUGGGCGUAAAGAGCGUGUAGGCGGCCUGACAAGUCUGCUGUGAAAACUCGAGGCUCAACCUCGAGAUGUCGGCGGAAACUGUCUGGCUAGAGUCCGGAAGAGGAGAGUGGAAUUCCUGGUGUAGCGGUGAAAUGCGCAGAUAUCAGGAAGAACACCUAUGGCGAAGGCAGCUCUCUGGGACGGUACUGACGCUGAGACGCGAAAGCGUGGGGAGCGAACAGGG